CCUACGGGACGCAGCAGUGGGGAAUAUUGCACAAUGGGCGCAAGCCUGAUGCAGCCAUGCCGCGUGUAUGAAGAAGGCCUUCGGGUUGUAAAGUACUUUCAGCGGGGAGGAAGGUGUUGUGGUUAAUAACCGCAGCAAUUGACGUUACCCGCAGAAGAAGCACCGGCUAACUCCGUGCAGCAGCCGCGGUAAUACGGAGGGUGCAAGCGUUAAUCGGAAUUACUGGGCGUAAAGCGCACGCAGGCGGUCUGUUAAGUCAGAUGUGAAAUCCCCGGGCUCAACCUGGGAACUGCAUUUGAAACUGGCAGGCUUGAGUCUUGUAGAGGGGGGUAGAAUUCCAGGUGUAGCGGUGAAAUGCGUAGAGAUCUGGAGGAAUACCGGUGGCGAAGGCGGCCCCCUGGACAAAGACUGACGCUCAGGUGCGAAAGCGUGGGGAGCAAACAGGAUUAGAUACCCCCGUAGUC
rnacentral:rRNA from 1 species